CUACGGGUCGCUCCAGUGAGGAAUAUUGCGCAAUGGGGGCAACCCUGACGCAGCAACGCCGCGUGGAUGAUGAAGGCCUUCGGGUUGUAAAAUCCCUUUCUGGGGGACGAUAAUGACGGUACCUCAGGAAUAAGUCCCGGCUAACUACGUGCCAGCAGCCGCGGUAAAACGUAGGGGGCAAGCGUUAUCCGGAUUUACUGGGCGUAAAGCGCGCGUAGGCGGUGUCGUAAGUUGGAUGUGAAAGCUCCUGGCUUAACUGGGAGAGGUCGUUCAAAACUGCGGUGCUUGAGGAUAGAAGAGGAGAGUAGAAUUCCCGGUGUAGUGGUGGAAUGCGUAGAUAUCGGGAGGAAUACCAGUGGCGAAGGCGACUCUCUGGUCUAUACCUGACGCUGAGGUGCGAAAGCGUGGGGAGCGAACGGGAUUAGAUACCCCGGUAGUC
rnacentral:rRNA from 1 species